GAAAUUUACUAGGUGUACUGUACUCAGUUUUUGCAAGCUCUCCCCAGAUUUACAAUGAGUCUGCUGUGGGUGGCUCACAGAACUUGUGUUCGGCUGCUCACUUGACUGAAUACUUGCGCUGCUGCUGCUUUCUACCCAAUACCCAUGAAUGAUUGCUGCUUGGCUACUUGUUGUUCCCAGCCAAUUAGCAAUUUCAGAAUUAAAUUAAUUGGGCAUGCAAUUGAUUUAGCGCAAAUCAAUGUUGUAUCUGUCUUUCUAGAUCGUCUAGUGAUAAUAAUCUGGGACGGAUUCGGUCUAGCCUAGCUCAUAUAUUUCAGGAAAGUAAGUAUCACAGAUUCAGCAUAGCCUAGCACAUAUCUUUCAAGUAGGCAAGUAUCACAGAUUCAGGCUAGCCCAUGCAUACCUAUCAGAAAGUUUGUAUCAUUACUUUGAGUUCUGCUGAUGAGUUUACUCUUCUACUCGAUAUACUUAUGCGCUCAUGUCAUUCCAUGAAUUAAUGCAGAGGCAAUGUUGGAGAAGAUGGCGUCCUGGAUUGGAUAGCAGAGAUUGUGCAGAGCACUAUGGAUAUCUACUUUACUGACAGGGAAUUUAGGCAUAAUACAUAGUGCUUUUCCUGGUAAGGGUUCCGCAGGCCGUGCAACAAUAUUGAUAUCUACUUUACUGACAGGGAAUUUAGGUGUAAUACAUAGUGCUUUUCCUGGUAAGGGUUCUGCAGGCCGUACAGCAGUAGAUGUACGAUCAUUUUGGUGCAGUAUAUCCCAAUUAUCACUAUGAAAAUACAGCAGAAGCUUGUCUGUUCAUUUCCAUUUUAACUCUUAUAUUUCUUGUAUCUCAAUCUCAUCUGCUAGUUUGAUAUAAUCCAAUGGGUGAUAGCAUCACCGUUUACCAAGUACCCAUCCUGGUUACUUUGUUAUUUAGGUAAAUGUAAGACAUCAUGAACUUUUACCAAGUACCUGUCCUUACAUUAUGUGCAAAAUAGGUUAUAUAUUAAAUUCCAAAUCUGUUGAAUAUUUGGUUAUACUGCAUGCUUAUAGUUUGUAGCUUGUGGCUGUACAUCUAUUUCUAUCUCAUGUUAUUUAUCAUUCUACUCUUCCAGAAUGUUUGCGGGGAGCUCAGUUAGUGUCGAUGCCUCAAGGGUUUAUGAAUAACAGUUCCAUGUUGCUUAAAGGCAUUGUAACGUUGGCUACUAGUUUCCAGGUAUAUGUUUAUGUAGUCAUAUGGACGCCUCAUUGAUAAUUCCUAUAGAAUGUUUAUAUUCUUUAUAACUUUGCCAUGGAUGAACCUAUUCUGGAUAAUGAGGAGUUAGCAAGGGAGGUUUCUGAUUGUAGAGAAUUGGUGACGCUUUUGCUUCAGGAUACUUAAUUAUAUGGCCUUGAGCUUUUGUAAGUUAAAGUAUUUUUUUCUUUCAUAUUUCGAAUUUAUAUUUGUAUACAUUUAAUCACAUAUCUGUAAGGUUCAAUUUUCUUUUACAGAUUCAAAAGAAGGAUAAUUGAGUUGCAGCUGAAUUCUUCGGUUGGAUCAAGCAGCGAAGAAGAUUUUACUUAGCAAUACCUGUAGUUUACAUUGACAGAUUGAAAAAUGUAAUAUCAUUCACAAGAUUUUUUUCUUUGGUUGAAUUGAUGCAACUGCUAUGGUGUAAUAUUCUCCAUAGUUGUGUUGUCUAUAGUCAAAUUGAUAUGAAUGAUAUUCUGUUGCACCAAUAAUAUUGAUAUUUGUUUAUUGUAAUGCAUAUGUAUCCUACACUCUUCUAUAUAAUAAAUAUA
rnacentral:lncRNA from 1 species